UGUGUAGGCGGGCCAGUAAGUCUGAGGUGAAAUCCCACGGCUCAACCGUGGAACUGCCUUAGAUACUGUUGGUCUUGAGUCCUGGAGAGGUCAUCGGAAUUCGUGGUGUAGCGGUGAAAUGCGUAGAUAUCACGAGGAACACCUGUUGCGAAGGUUGGUGGCUGGACAGGAACUGACGCUGAGGCACGAAAGCGUGGGGAGCAAACAGGAUUAGAUACCCUGGUAGUCC
rnacentral:rRNA from 1 species